UACAGAGGAUGCAAGUGUUAUUCGGAAUUAUUGGGCGUAAAGCGUCUGUAGGCGGGUAAUUUAGUCUUUUGUUAAAUUUUUGGGCUUAACCUGAAAGCUGCAAAAGAAACUGAUUGUCUUGAGUUUGGCAGAGGUAAAGGGAAUUUCCAGUGGAGCGGUGAAAUGCGUAGAUAUUGGAAAGAACACCGAAGGCGAAGGCACUUUACUGGACCAAUACUGACGCUGAGAGACGAAAGCUAGGGGAGCAAACGGG
rnacentral:rRNA from 1 species